CCUUCCGUAGGAGCUGACCAGAAAUACUCGCCAAGAAACACCCAGCAGGCUGAUCUUGAUCUGAGUUGGUGUCAGCAAUCAGCUGCUUACAAGCUCAAUGUCUUCCUGUAAGCCUGUCUUCCAGUGGAGUUAUCCAGACUCCAUGCUGAGGCACCAGGUGGCACCAGCUGAAGAGAUCGAUGCAGGAUGGAUCUUCUGCAAGGAGAAGAAACAGGAGGGUGUCAGCCAGCAUCGUGGGCCUUGGCUUAAGAGCCUGAAAACUAUCAAAGUGGAUCAUCCGAGGAAAGGAACCUCAAAUGAGCCGUGAAGAAUUUCCUGGUCGUCAGCUUCUCCAGUAAGACAACAGGUGUGAUUGCCCACUGGCAGCAGCCCGCUGUACACCCUCGAUUCCUACUCCAAAGGGCCUCGGGACCAUGAGCUGCGUGUGAAAGGCACACACUGGCUCAGUCUUGCAAACCAACUGAAAUGCAGCGUCUGCACGCCACCACCCCGACUGCCGCAGAACCUCCUCUGGCUCUCACUGGCCCGGGACAGCCGCCUUGUCACAGCAGAUGAGUCGUGUUCCUCUUCCACCAGCCAGAUCCCACUCCUCCACUGCACGUAAUCUGAAGUCCUUGUUGACAACUGACAGGUCCGCCACUCCGCCUUGCUGUUUGAUGCCUCCCCGUGCCAGGAAGACACUCCGUUGCCAUCGUUGCGUCAUCACUUUCUUCCCCCC